UACAGCAUCUGGAAGAGUAAAAAAGUGAUAGGUAGGAAAAAAAAAGAGAAAAGCUCCUCUGAACUCGAAGGGAUGAUUAUGCAAAGCUUUAUCACUGCUGCCUCGGAGAACAGGCCUGGAGGAGGGGCUGGAGAGAGCUUCACAGCUUAACUUCACCCAUGCUUUGUUCUGAAUGUGUUGUACAGUUACAACUGGUACUUAACCAUCAUUACCUAUUUUAUAUACAGGAACAGGCACUGUGAAUAAGUACGGAGGUCAUUUGUUUUUUUGAGUUGCAAUCUCUUUAUUUUCUGUGAGUCAAGUGGUCUGAGUCAGUGCAGUCAUGCUCUCCUCUAUUUCUGUGAGUUUCUUCAGCAUCUGGCUCACCUUGGCCUCAUCAAACUCCAGGCAUAGAAAUUCAGAUUCCUGACCAUAUUUUCCCAGCUCCAUUUCAACUAUUGCAACUGGAGUAUUUAUCUGAUCAACAUGUCUUGACUGUGACUUCAAAUCCACUCUCCAGUUCAUGUUUUUCAAGACGUUAUCCCAGCAGCUUUGAUUUACCAGGCUCUCACGAAUCUUCACUCGGUGGUUUUUCCAAAAUUUGGCAAUGACUGCAGCUUGAUCUGACGUGAUGCCACCUUGCUUUUUUGUUUGGGCAGUGAGAAAAGCUUCCAGCUGAUUCAAAUCCAUGUCAGCUGAAGCAAUUGACUGCAGCAGGCCGCCCAUCUUGGCGCGCAGGGCGCGGAACUCCUCCGGCGCCGCCUCGGGGUAGAGCUGCCCGCGCAGCAGCUCCUCCGUGAUGUCGGCCUUGCCGUAGUAGGCGGCCUGCGCGAUGCCGCCCAGCAACGCGCUCAGCGCCUUGCCGCCAUCGACCGCCGGCGGCUGCUGCUCGGCCGCCGCCAUCUUGGAGGGGCGGCCCCGCGCCUCAGUCCCCGCCUCGCGAAGGGCCGCCGCCGCGCCGCCUCGCUGGGCUCGGCCCGGCUGGGGCAGGCCUGGGCGCUGGGACUGGAAGCGUAUUUUUAAGCUUUAAAGCAACUGGAGACGCAGGAGGUGAAGUUUGCUUCAAUCAGAUGAACUGCCGGGAGCUCUGCGGGCACCCACCUCCUGCUUCUGAGCAAAAUGCCAAAAACCUCAGAGAAACCCUCCGAAGGCAGCGUAUGGAACCAAAACAGAGUUCAUGUUUAGUCUUCGAGAAUGAGAUACAGAAUGAAUUCAUGACUUAAGUGCAGAAGGCAGGCACUGAGUCCUUAAGAGGGCCUCCAUAGAGCAUGCAAAGCUGCUGAAGCCACGCUGCUGAAACCAGCACAUUUGCUACUGUAAAAGACAAAUAGUGGAAGCAAUGAUCUGUGUUAAGCGCCUUCCAGCAGCUCUGUGCAUUUUUUAGUUGUAUAUGCCUCAUCUGAACAGGCAAGCAAAACAAAUACCGCUCCCCACAUUGAAUCUCCACUGGAGAGCAGAAACUGGUUUGGAUAAAAGGAAGUGGGGAAGGCAGGGGUAAGAGAAGAGCAGGCAAUAUAUGCUGCCUGAACUGCAGAACUGCUAUGCAUGGCCCCGUAUCACUACUAGCUACAGACACCACUUGACACGAGGGUGGCACUACCCCUCAGAACUCUUCCUUGCAAUCCCGUCCUAGGAAAAAGCAGCUUGCUGGGGUGGUGAUCUGGUACAGCCUUGAACAGCACACUGCUCAUGAGCCAGAGUAACUGUGCAAAGGACAGCAGUAACCCAGGCAGGGGGAUCGGCGAUAGCCCGGGUCGCUUUACACAACAUCCUUUUGCUGCCCAGAACUGCUGUCAUCACUUUCACAUCUCUUUUGGGCAGUAGCAACAACUUCUGGCUAAAAGGAUUUGGAGAAAGGGAUACAUUGCCAGGAGAUUUCCCCAAAACAACCAGAAAUAGGUUUUUCCGAGGAAAAAGAAUGUUCCUGUUAUUGCCUAAAAUAUAAAAGCAGUUCAUUUACCUCCUGCUGACUCAGAGUUUUAGCAGUAUCUUCUUUCUUCUAAUGAGGACUGAGGCUGUAUUAAGUCACUGAAGCUCCUUGCCAGUUGGCCUUACCACAUAGAAGCAGCACUACAACAGCCACUCAUGCUGACCCAGCAGAUGCAUCCUGCCUCAGGUGGGUGAGAGGGGAUCUGCUGAGAAGGCAGGUGAGGGCACAGGAACACAGCAGCCUCACGUGCAGUCAAACAGCCUCUCCUCACACCUGUAACAGGGCAGUACCUACUGACAGUUCUUCAGUCCAGC
rnacentral:lncRNA from 1 species